UCCAGGUCUCUCUUGCUAUGCAAAUAGAAACUGGCUUUUCAAAUGAGGUUCUUGUCCAACUGAGGUCUCCGUAUGUGGGAGAAUGGUACAGGAAGAUCUUGGGUAGCAGCUAUUUUUAAUGCAGCAGGUGAGUGUGGGAAGCUACAUGCAUUAAAAGGCCAAAUUCUUUUGCUUUUGUUAAUGCUGAGUGGGACCUCCUGUGAGAGCUGCAGAUGAAAUGCAUUGCUCAUUACAAGAAUGGAUGUCAGAGUCUGAUCCAAGGACUAAUUCCCAGUUCUCUUCCCCAGAAUUUAGCAUUAUAGUAACAGUUAAAGCAAGUUCAUAGUAUGUUGUGGUUCUUCUGGAAAGUAAUGGAGAUGGUGUUACAUUUUCAUGACAAGAGUACUGAGAUAGUGUCACCUUUGAAAA